rnacentral:lncRNA from 1 species
UGACGAAGAGGAGUGACAUUCAUGAAGAGAAGGAUGGGAGAUCGAAAGAAAGACGGAGGAAAUGCGAAGAAAUCGAAGAAGACGGAGUCGAAUUGGCCACUCAUUAAGCCUAAAUCUAAUCUCCGUGUUACUCGCCUAAAAGAUUACGAUCUAUUUACUGUAUGUUACCUAUGUAUUUCUUCCCCAACCAAUUUCUGUGUUUAUAGUCAGUUUAACUUUAUCUUUUUUUCUCAUUUAUAUUGGUUUGAUCUGAUUAGUGUGCGAUGCAAUUAAGUUUCAAUUUGUGUUUUUCGUCUAAAANAAAAAAAAAAAACCUUGUGAAAUCGUUGACGCAUAGUUUUAUUUGGCCGGACCCGGUAAGUAGGUUUAUAAACUAUGAAAUCUGACGAAGAGGAGUGACAUUCAUGAAGAGAAGGAUGGGAGAUCGAAAGAAAGACGGAGGAAAUGCGAAGAAAUCGAAGAAGACGGAGUCGAAUUGGCCACUCAUUAAGCCUAAAUCUAAUCUCCGUGUUACUCGCCUAAAAGAUUACGAUCUAUUUACUGUAUGUUACCUAUGUAUUUCUUCCCCAACCAAUUUCUGUGUUUAUAGUCAGUUUAACUUUAUCUUUUUUUCUCAUUUAUAUUGGUUUGAUCUGAUUAGUGUGCGAUGCAAUUAAGUUUCAAUUUGUGUUUUUCGUCUAAAAAACUAAUAUCAUUUUAGACUCUUCUGGAUCCUCCGUACUUGUUAUUUUAGUCGAAUCUUCACAAGCUUUGUAACUCAUCGGUAUAAGAGUAACCAGUUCUUCUCAGACCACAUCAACAUAUUAAACGUCUAUUGAAAUCUGCUAUCGACAUGAGCCAAAUUGAAGUUAUGAACUUAAAGUACUUCAUUUUAGGGCUUUAAUUGCGCUGACGAGUAUUAGAUGCAGCAAAUAUCAUACGAUCUAAUUGAUGGUGUACUUGGAUGUCCAUUAAUAAAGUGAUCACUGCAGAAUCAUAAUUAGAGUUAGGGAUAGUUGUAAAACCUCCUGGAUAUUGUAUGCUCUAAGUGGUUCCUGUUUUGUUUAAGAUUCUCA